ACAAACAUGAGACGUCCAAAGGACGUUCAGAUUAUGUCCAUAUCGGGUCGGUCGGUCCAGAACCUAAUCUGCACCUAAUCUGCACGUCUAAACGACGUGCAGAUCCAGUACAGUAUUUGGACGUCUGACUACGACGUCUUUUGGACGUUGAUAUGCAGUUCAAUAUUUGAGGGUCCGUUCUUGGACGUCAUUUAGACGUUCAAAACAGGUUCAGAAAAAAAAUAUAAAAACUUAUGCAAUAAAAACGACAAAUGAGUUCUGAUUCAAAACAAUGUAACAUGACGUUUUUUUUUUGUGAAAAUUCUUUAAGGUGAUAAAAUAUGUUAUAUUUUUAAGAAUGAAUGUUCACAACGCGUGCCAAAAUCUACUGCAUUUCUUUUGUGUAAUUUGCAAAUUAAACCAAAUUCAAGUGUGAUUUACAAAAAUAAUCAACAUUGCAAUUUUAAGUUUAACCACAAGGGUGUGUAAAAGCUUAGGUGGCGAGGUGGCGCGUGAUCUUUUUUUGCACGUGAUCAACAGACGUAAUUAAGCGAGCCCCAGCCGUAAACGUACUCAACGGAUUCAACCUGCUGUGAACAGGAGAACAGGACCUACAUACACCCCAAAGGCUCUUUUCAGAGCCAUUUGACCAAGCAUCUUUGUACAUGCCGGUUUUCCUUCAGUAGUGCCAGUUUUCCUAAGAUUUUACCUCGUCCUCCACUGCCUCCAGUAAUUCCUGGUUUUAAGGUGGAGUAAUGGAGUAAAGAUGCAACGGAGCAGCUGAUAAGAAAACAUGCUUAAGACCAUCUUAAACGUGCACCAUCAAGAAAGGGAGGGGUACACAAUAAACAUUUUUUUUAACAUUACUUUUUGAAUAGAUGCACUUUUUAAAUUUUUUUUUUAAGUAUAUAUAUUGUUUAUUUAUGUUGUUUUUAAAUGUUAUAAUUGUAUUGUUUUUAUUUGUUGUAUUUAGCUUUUAUGCAUUUGUACACACACAAACACACAACCACAUUUAUACAAAAUAAGUUUUGAAUAAAUACGUUUAAUGGAG